rnacentral:antisense_RNA from 1 species
AAUUAUGGUGGGCUGGGCAAGGCAGCUUCGGCUGGCCGUUUCUAUGUGUCGCGGUAGUACUAACCUUGUUCAGUUCACCACCCAU